UUUAAAUGGCUGCAGUAAUUUAACUGUACAAAGGUAGCAUAAUAAUUAGUCUUUUAAUUGAGGUCUGGAAUGAAUGGUUUAACAAGAAAAUAACUUUAUUAGUUUUUAUGAAUUUGAAUUUAAUUUUUUAGUUAAAAAGCUAAAAUUUUUAAUUGGGACGAUAAGACCCUAUAGAUCUUAUUUUUUUUAAAAAAUUUUUUAUAUUAGACAUUUUUUAAAAAUGAGAAUAAAAAAAAUUCGUUGGGGUGAUGUCAAAAAUUUUAAAACUUUUGAAGAUUGUUUCAUUUAUUGAUGAUUAAUUGAUCUUUAAUUUAGGAUUAAUAGAUUAAGAUACCUUAGGGAUAACAGCGUAAUAAAUUUGGAUAGUUCAUAUUGAUAAAUUUGUUUACGACCUCGAUGUUGAAUUAAUUUAAAAUUUUGGAGUAGAAAUUAAAAGUUUGGGUCUGUUCGACCUUUAAUUAAUUACA
rnacentral:rRNA from 1 species